rnacentral:rRNA from 1 species
AGUUUGAUCCUGGCUCAGGAUGAACGCUGGCGGUCUGCUUAACACAUGCAAGUCGAACGGGAUCCUUCGGGAUUUAGUGGCGGACGGGUGAGUAACGCGUGAGAAUCUGCCCUUAGGUUGGGGACAACAGUUGGAAACGACUGCUAAUACCCAAUGUGCCGAGAGGUGAAAGGUUAACUGCCUGGGGAUGAGCUCGCGUCUGAUUAGCUAGUUGGAGUGGUAACGGCACACCAAGGCGACGAUCAGUAGCUGGUCUGAGAGGAUGAUCAGCCACACUGGGACUGAGACACGGCCCAGACUCCUACGGGAGGCAGCAGUGGGGAAUUUUCCGCAAUGGGCGAAAGCCUGACGGAGCAAGACCGCGUGAGGGAGGAAGGCCUAUUGGUUGUAAACCUCUUUUGAUAGGGAAGAACACAAUGACGGUACCUAUCGAAUCAGCAUCGGCUAACUCCGUGCCAGCAGCCGCGGUAAUACGGAGGAUGCAAGCGUUAUCCGGAUUUAUUGGGCGUAAAGCGUCCGUAGGUGGCAAACCAAGUCAGUUGUUAAAGCGUAGCGCUUAACUCUAUAAGGGCAAUUGAAACUGGUUAGCUAGAGUGCGAUAGGGGCAAGGGGAAUUCCCAGUGUAGCGGUGAAAUGCGUAGAUAUUGGGAAGAACAUCGGUGGCGAAGGCGCCUUGCUGGGUCUGCACUGACACUGAGGGACGAAAGCUAGGGGAGCGAAAGGGAUUAGAUACCCCUGUAGU